rnacentral:ncRNA from 1 species
GUUAGGAAUUAGCAGCGCUCGAUAGCAAUACCGAGAUGAAAAUUGGGUGAAUUCAGGGAAGCCUUAACUGGUAAUCCUGAGCCAAGCCCACGAACUACGUAGAGUUCAGGGAAGGUGCAGAGACUAGGUGAGUACACCAUCAAGCGCCCAACUCCAACGUAAGGUUGGAGAAGAGAUAGUCCACGCCACAAGGAAACUUGUGG